rnacentral:rRNA from 1 species
UACGGAGGGGGCGAGCGUUAUUCGGAAUUACUGGGCGUAAAGCGUGCGCAGGCUGUUUUGUAAGUCAGAUGUGAAAUCCCCGAGCUCAACUUGGGAACUGCGUUUGAAACUACAAGACUAGAAUAUGUCAGAGGGGGGUAGAAUUCCACGUGUAGCAGUGAAAUGCGUAGAGAUGUGGAGGAAUACCAAUGGCGAAGGCAGCCCCCUGGGAUAAUAUUGACGCUCAUGCACGAAAGCGUGGGGAGCAAACAGG